rnacentral:misc_RNA from 1 species
CGAGCGCCAUUUCUACCCUGGAGCCCUGCUCUGUGAUGGGCCCCGUCCUCGCGGACAGGCCCGAAACCCGUGGGCGCCGUCGUCCGGCCCUGAGCGUAGCAAGAGAAAUCCCUCGCUCGGAGUGUCUGACGGCCGGCCGCCCUGAAACCUAUUUUUACAAGGUUGGCCUCGGAUCAGGUGGGGAUACCCGCUGAACUUAA